UUCUUCAUCUUCUCUCAUAUGACAGGCGAUUAGGGUUUUCUUUCUUUCUCUCAUCAAACAAUCCAACCUCCACGGUACAAUCACAAGGUUCAUUCGCAACCUCUUCUCCUUCUACUCGAAUUCAUCUUCUUCGUCGGCAAGGUCCUCCAUCAACGGUGAUUCCUCUGCAGCUCUUCCAUCGACGGUGAUUGAUCUGCAUCGUCUUCUUCCACGCACAGGGUAUUCAAUGAUGCCCCAAUGAUUGAAUCUUAGGUUUUUUUCUGAGCCGCCGCCCCUUGCAGCGACCUACCUCAACAAUGCUGGUGACCUGUGUCGUCUUUAUUUUGGUCCUGUUUUCAUCUCAGAUUAUGGAUUGUUCAGACAACUUCAAAGAUCAAAAGAAUUCUGGUAUGUACCUAAAAUGCAGAUGAAUAGACAGAAAGAUGGUGGAUACCUCGGGUAAAGGUUCCUCCAGGAGGACUUUCAUAUGAAUCAAGAAAAUGGUAUGAACAUCAAAAGGAUAUUUGCAACCAAGUUCUUAAAGCUUCCAUGACCAUAAAUGUGCAAGUUUUUUGAGAAAUGGAGGUCCCAGAGACCUACAUUGAUUCCAUGCCAAAGGUAAUUUUGUAUAUUUUAAAAAAAUUGUUCUUAUUUAAGCAUGAUUUGUACCUCAAGAACCAGUUUAUGAUUGUAAAACUGGAUGCUAUUUUAACUGGACUCUAAUAAUUCAUUAUUAAUAUCUAUAUUUAACACUCAUCCUCAAGUUGUAACUACCGAUAUAUUAUUCAAUUUCAGGUUGAAGAGAAGAUUAAUUAUGUUAUAUAUUUUUUUAUUAGUUAUGUUAGUUCUUUAAUUGACUGAUGUUUGGAUUUGUGAAGUUUUGGAACGUAUAUGUUUCCUUUGAUUCGGUUACUAAAGACAAGGAAAAUUAAGCGUGUUCGGAGAAAAGGUAUGUUUAGGGUUUGUAAAAAGAUAUGUGGUUUGGUUUAAGACUCUUUAAGUAUAAAUAUUUUUAUGUUUCAUUGUCUUAUUUACGCUUUAUUACAAUAAUAAUCUAAGUUUUUUUUAAUAACCGUUAAGAUGUUUUAACUUUUCUCCAUUUGGAUUAGAUGACCUUCAAACCAUUUGAUGUGUUUCUUUAGUAGUAUAUCUUUUAGUUCAACUCAUUUCACCUGUUAAAGACAUAAAUGUGUCAAAAUUUCACCUAUAAUCUUCUAUCUCUCAUUGAUGGUUGAUAUGUAAACGUUAAAAGGAAAUAUUUUUAUUUGUUUUUUGAACAUGAUUUUAUUGGGCUCAAGUAUGACAGGGCAAACUGAAUUAAUCUUACAAGCCGUAACUGUUCAUUAAAUGUUUUUAAUGAUGCUUGAAGGUACCACAAGAGCCAACUUUAAAUAGUUUAAUCUCCACAUGAAUUGAAUUAUUACUUUAUUCUUGCUCUAUGUGUUCAAGUGACUUCAAUCCUAAUGCUUUUAAGGUAGCAAGUAUUAGGAUUUUCUUAUUUAGUUGAUAACUAUUUAGUUGGUUGUUUCUUACUAAAGUUUUUCAGCCAUUUUGUUUAUUGAAUUAGAGUAGAAUUUUCCUUUUAAACAAUAGAUUCCUUAUGUUUAAGCUAAUUAUUUGAUUUGUCUGAGAGAAUGACUAAACUUCUUUUACUUUGUAGGUGUCCUUCUAUUGGCAAGCGUUAAGGGAGGAUGAGAACUCGGACAAUCUUCUUGUGAAGUACAGUUUCGCAGAAGAGAUAUGGGGGAUUGUUUGCGGCUGGAUUAAAGUUGAUUCCGGAUGAGUUUGUCUCAGUUAAAUACGAUAUGCAUUUAUUUUUAUAAUUUAUUUGAUUUAAUUUUUUAAUAACCCAAGACGUGUAACACACUGCUUCGGAGGUUGCUUCUUUGUGGGGGUUAUGUUGUGGCUGCUGCUUCCUGCUGUUAUAUUUUGUAUGUUGUUUUUGGAGGCUUUUUUGGGUUAUGAAUAUAUUUUUAGUUUUGCUUA
rnacentral:lncRNA from 1 species